rnacentral:lncRNA from 1 species
UUAAAAUCAGUAAACCUAUCACCAUUCACUUCCUUUUUAAAGUUUUUUUUAUGAUGUAAAAAGAAAAUAAUCUAAAGUGUAAAUAAAAUUUUCGUUCUAAAAAAUAAAAAUAAUAACAUGAUAUUUAAAAAAAUAUAAUUAUAAAUGUGACAAGAAACAAAAUUUAAGUUCUAUAUUUUUUUAGAAAUUUACUUCAAUUUAAAAAUGUAAAAUAAAUUUGAUUAUUAUCAUGACCUUUUUUAAAAAAAACACAUAAAAAUC